GAGAAGGUUUCAGCAUCAUCUCAGAGAAUCUUCAAAAAACUAGGAAGGUCGGGUCCAUUUGGUUAGAUUCUGUUUUGUAUGCUCAAUGGUUCCUGUUUUUUUCUCAGCAAGGGCUCCAGCACCUAUGAAAUCUUAGACCUAUAGAAUUCAAAGUGCACCCCUGGAUCAACAAUGAAAAAUGGAUGGAUCUGCUCUGUAUAAUGAGGCAGCGCACGAAUGGGCCACCAACUGUUUUCCUGAAUCCAUCUUCAUCAGCCUCAUACUUUGGGGUAAUUCCUCCUGGCAAUAAGAGGCUUGUCAUUCUUUAUGAUCUGCAUUGAGACAGAGCACGAGCAAUGGGGAGGAGGCAGAGCAAGAGGGAGAAGCAGAUUCCCCGCUCAAUCCAGGAUCUCGAGAUCAUGACUUGAGUGAAAGGCAGACCCUUAACCGACUGAGCCUCCCUGGCGUCCCCCAGUUAUUUUUAACUGCUGGUGUUUUCUACAGGUAUCUACAAGUUAUCCUGGACUUUUUCUCUCAUGGUUUUUGCUAUAUCUCAGCACCGAGAACCUAAGAGGUAUUCAGUGAAUAUUUGUUCAGAAUGAAUGGGAAUGUUUACUAUUAAAAUGACCAAAUAAAGAUGAUACAGAAAGCUUUGUCAAGAAGGAAGGGGAAGGCUUUGAAGUAAUAUCCCACAAAAGACAGAGUUUGGGGGUAAGUAAAGUCAUAUAUUAUUCCAAUUAGAGAUAAAAAUAAUAAGGGAAUCAUGUCAGGGACACAAAUCUAUUAUGUGCUUAUACUUUUCCUUUUCUUCUUUCUGUUUAUCCACUUAGAAGGAAAGUUUUUGGAUAAGAAAAAUUUAAAUUAUGUAGAAAUGUAAUUCAGUAGCAAGCUAUGUAAUGUAGUCAGUCAUUGGAAUUAUUCCACAAACUGAAGCAACUACAUAUAUACCUAGAAGGGCUUUCGAUUUUCAAAGAUGUGUUUGAUUUAAAGAGGAGAGCCAAAUAUGUAUUCCAAAAGAUUUUUUAUUACUCUGAGAUGAAGAAUUCAGGGUUUGUUAAAAGAAAGUUUCCUAGGUCUGAAAGUAUUCAUUGUGGAGUG